rnacentral:rRNA from 1 species
UACGGUGACAUCAUGUUGUAAUACUGGUUCCCAUACGAUCAUUGCAGUUAAGCAACAUCGAGCCUGGUCAGUACCUAAAUGGGUGACCACUUGGAAAUACAAGGUGCUGUAAG